GACGAACGCUGGCGGCGUGCUUAACACAUGCAAGUCGAACGGAAAGGCCCUGCUUUUGUGGGGUGCUCGAGUGGCGAACGGGUGAGUAACACGUGAGUAACCUGCCCUUGACUUUGGGAUAACUUCAGGAAACUGGGGCUAAUACCGGAUAGGAGCUCCUGCUGCAUGGUGGGGGUUGGAAAGUUUCGGCGGUUGGGGAUGGACUCGCGGCUUAUCAGCUUGUUGGUGGGGUAGUGGCUUACCAAGGCUUUGACGGGUAGCCGGCCUGAGAGGGUGACCGGCCACAUUGGGACUGAUAUACGGCCCAGACUCCUACGGGAGGCAGCAGUGGGGAAUAUUGCACAAUGGGCGGAAGCCUGAUGCAGCAACGCCGCGUGCGGGAUGACGGCCUUCGGGUUGUAAACCUCUUUCGCCUGUGACGAAGCGUGAGUGACGGUAAUGGGUAAAGAAGCACCGGCUAACUACGUG
rnacentral:rRNA from 1 species